rnacentral:rRNA from 1 species
GACGAACCGAGCGAACGUUGUUCGGAAUCACUGGGCUUAAAGGGCGCGUAGGCGGGUGCUCAAGUCUGUGGUGAAAUCCUCCGGCUCAACCGGAGAACUGCCAUGGAUACUGGGUGCCUCGAGGGUGGUAGGGGUAUGCGGAACUAUCGGUGGAGCGGUGAAAUGCGUUGAUAUCGAUAGGAACUCCGGUGGCGAAGGCGGCAUACUGGACCACUUCUGACGCUGAGACACGAAAGCCAGGGGAGCAAACGGG